rnacentral:rRNA from 1 species
GUAGGUGGCAAGCGUUGUCCGGAAUUAUUGGGCGUAAAGCGCGCGCAGGCGGUUCUUUAAGUCUGAUGUGAAAGCCCACGGCUCAACCGUGGAGGGUCAUUGGAAACUGGAGAACUUGAGUACAGAAGAGGAAAGCGGAAUUCCACGUGUAGCGGUGAAAUGCGUAGAGAUGUGGAGGAACACCAGUGGCGAAGGCGGCAUUCUGGUCUGUAACUGACGCUGAGGCGCGAAAGCGUGGGGAGCAAACAGGAUUAGAUACCCUGGUAGUCCACGCCGUAAACGAUGAGUGCUAAGUGUUAGGGGGGUUUUCCGCCCCCCUUAGUGCUGCAGCUAACGCAUUAAGCACUCCGCCUGGGAGUACGGCCGCAAGGCUG